rnacentral:SRP_RNA from 1 species
UGUCGGUCCCCUCGCAAUGACAGGUUGCAAACCCCGCCAGGCCCGGAAGGGAGCAACGGUAGCAGCUGACUCAUGUGCCGGGGUGUGGCUGGCAAGA